rnacentral:rRNA from 1 species
AGAGUUUGAUCAUGGCUCGGAUUGAACGCUGGCGGCAGGCCUAACACAUGCAAGUCGGGCGGUAACAGGGAGAAGCUUGCUUCUCCGCUGACGAGCGGCGGACGGGUGAGUAAUGUCUGGGAAACUGCCUGAUGGAGGGGGAUAACUACUGGAAACGGUAGCUAAUACCGCAUAACGUCGCAAGACCAAAGAGGGGGACCUUCGGGCCUCUUGCCAUCAGAUGUGCCCAGAUGGGAUUAGCUAGUAGGUGGGGUAAUGGCUCACCUAGGCGACGAUCCCUAGCUGGUCUGAGAGGAUGACCAGCCACACUGGAACUGAGACACGGUCCAGACUCCUACGGGAGGCAGCAGUGGGGAAUAUUGCACAAUGGGCGCAAGCCUGAUGCAGCCAUGCCGCGUGUAUGAAGAAGGCCUUCGGGUUGUAAAGUGCUUUCAGUCGGGAGGAAGGUGUCAAGGUUAAUAACCUUGGCAAUUGACGUUACCGACAGAAGAAGCACCGGCUAACUCCGUGCCAGCCGCCGCGGUAAUUC